UGGAAUGCCCGGUAUCCCAAAGCUCCGGCGCCUUAGGAUGGAUCUGCGGCCGAUUAGGUCGUUGUUGGGGUAACGGCCCAACAAGCCGAUAAUCGGUACGGGUUGUGGGAGCAAGAGCCCGGAGUUGGAUUCUGAGACACGAAUCCAGGCCCUACGGGGCGCAGCAGGCGCGAAAACUUUACAAUGCGGGCAACCGUGAUAAGGGAACCUCGAGUGCCUGUACAUGCAGGCUGUCUGGGUGUCUAAAACACACCCAAAGAAAGGGCCGGGCAAGACCGGUGCCAGCCGCCGCGGUAAUACCGGCGGCUCGAGUGGUGGCCACUUUUAUUGGGCUUAAAGCGUUCGUAGCUGGGUUGUUAAGUCUCUUGGGAAAUCUGGCAGCUUAACUGUCAGGCGUCUAAGAGAUACUGGCAAUCUAGGAACCGGGAGAGGUGAGGGGUACUUCGGGGGUAGGAGUGAAAUCCUGUAAUCCUCGAGGGACCACCUGUGGCGAAGGCGCCUCACCAGAACGGCUUCGACAGUGAGGGACGAAAGCUGGGGGAGCAAACCGGAUUAGAUACCCGGGUAGUCCCAGCCGUAAACGAUGCGCGUUAGGUGUGUCGAUGACCACGAGUCAUCGAGGUGCCGAAGGGAAACCGUGAAACGCGCCGCCUGGGAAGUACGGUCGCAAGGCUGAAACUUAAAGGAAUUGGCGGGGGAGCACCACAACAGGUGGAGCCUGCGGUUUAAUUGGACUCAACGCCGGGAAGCUCACCGGAUAGGACAGCAGAAUGAUUGCCGGGCUGAAGACUCUGCAUGACU
rnacentral:rRNA from 1 species